UGCAUCGGCCGGGAAUCGAACCGCCCGCGUGGCAGGCGAGCAUUCUACCACUGAACCACCUAUGC